ACGAACGCUGGCGGCGCGCCUAACACCUGCAAGUCGAACGGAGUCAAGAGGAGCUUGCUUUUCUUGACUUAGUGGCGAACGGGUGAGUAACGCGUGAGUAACCUGCCCUGGAGUGGGGGACAACAGUUGGAAACGACUGCUAAUACCGCAUAAGCCCACGGAUCUGCAUGGAUCUGCGGGAAAAGGAUUUAUUCGCUCUAGGAUGGACUCGCGUCCAAUUAGCUAGUUGGUGAGGUAACGGCCCACCAAGGCGACGAUUGGUAGCCGGACUGAGAGGUUGAACGGCCACAUUGGGACUGAGACACGGCCCAGACUCCUACGGGAGGCAGCAGUGGGGGAUAUUGCACAAUGGGGGAAACCCUGAUGCAGCGACGCCGCGUGGAGGAAGAAGGUUUUCGGAUUGUAAACUCCUGUCGUUAGGGACGAUAAUGACGGUACCUAACAAGAAAGCACCGGCUAACUACGUG
rnacentral:rRNA from 1 species